rnacentral:tRNA from 1 species
GCUUGGGUGGCUCAGUCAGUUGAGCGUCUGACUUUGGCUCAGGUCAUGAUCUCAUAGUUUGUGAGUUCAAGCCCCACAUCAGGCU